rfam:Setosphaeria turcica Et28A unplaced genomic scaffold SETTTscaffold_3, whole genome shotgun sequence.
UCUUCAGUAGUAUAGUGGUCAGUAUUUCCGCUUGUCAAACACCUGAUUGACAGCGCGCGGGAGACCGGGGUUCAAUUCCCCGCUGGAGAG